GGGAUGACGUCAAGUCCUCAUGGCCCUUAUAGGUGGGGCUACACACGUCAUACAAUGGCUGGUACAAAGGGUUGCCAACCCGCGAGGGGGAGCUAAUCCCAUAAAGCCAGUCGUAGUCCGGAUCGCAGUCUGCAACUCGACUGCGUGAAGUCGGAAUCGCUAGUAAUCGUGGAUCAGAAUGUCACGGUGAAUACGUUCCCGGUCUUGUACACACCGCCCGUCACACCAUGGGAGCGGGUUCUGCCAGAAGUAGUUAGCCUAACCGCAAGGAGGGCGAU
rnacentral:rRNA from 1 species